rnacentral:lncRNA from 1 species
UCAUCCGCGAAAGAGCAGUUCCCAUCCCAUCCAGUUUCAGCUAGCAACACGUCACAAACACACAAACUAGCUAUAGCAGGUUGUCACUGAUCAUGACGAUGGCCGCACGCCUGAUGCUGGUGGCGGCGCUGCUGUGCGCGGCGGCCGCGGCCGCCACGGCGCAGCAGGCGACCAACGUGCGGGCGACGUACCACUACUACCGGCCGGCGCAGAACAACUGGGACCUGGGCGCGCCCGCGGUGAGCGCCUACUGCGCGACCUGGGACGCCAGCAAGCCGCUGUCGUGGCGGUCCAAGUACGGGUGGACGGCGUUCUGCGGCCCCGCCGGCGCCCACGGGCAGGCGGCGUGCGGCAAGUGC